UACGUAGGGGGCAAGCGUUGUCCGGAUUUAUUGGGCGUAAAGAGCGUGUAGGCGGUUAGGUAGGUCCGUUGUGAAAACUCAAGGCUCAACCUCGAGACGCCGAUGGAAACCAUCUGACUAGAGUCCGGAAGAGGAGAGUGGAAUUCCUGGUGUAGCGGUGAAAUGCGCAGAUAUCAGGAAGAACACCCGUGGCUAAGGCGGCUCUCUAGUACGUGACUGACGCUGAGACGCGAAAGCGUGGGGAGCGAACAGG
rnacentral:rRNA from 1 species